GAGCGCGGGGCGAGCCGAGGGGUUCAAGGGGAGCGGUUUGCCUCCCUCGCCCGGGCCGAGUGGACGUGCCGCCCGCUUGCCGUCUCCCUGUCGGAACAGCACCUUCUCGCUAAAGCGAUCGGAGGUCGGGCCGGGAGGGCGGGGGACGGAGGCGGGUCAUGGGCUGAGGGGGAGGGUAGGCGAGUGGCGGAAACCCUUAAACUCAGAGAAGCAUCGAGAACCGGAAGGAGACCUUAGGAGGAAGAAACUGGGCACAGAUUGCUGUUACACCAAGGGGACAGAGCUAUUAAGUGGGAGAAGUGGAAUUUGAAUAAGCCAGGGUGCACAGAUUAGUGAGGACUACUGGGACCUACCAACCAGAAACUCAACACACGGGGAGGACAAUGAAGCAGACUUCAAAGAAACCAGUUCCUGUUGCCCUCAUCUAACAAGCUUCAACAGAGAAGUACACUGACACUUUACUGCUAUGCAAUAAAGCACAGCAAACCGGGAAAAAUUGUGGUCAGA
rnacentral:lncRNA from 1 species